rnacentral:lncRNA from 1 species
UUUGUAUGGCCCUAGGAGAAACUUGUUUCUAUGCAAACCAUUCUGGGAUAAUAAAAGACAGUUUGGCACUAGUAAGAAAUAGGUUAAAGGAAAGAAAGAAAGCACAAGACACUUCAGGCAAUUGGUUCCAAAACCUACUCUCAAGGUCCCCUUGGUUAACUACCAUCAUUUCAGUCAUAGUUGGGCCCCUAGUCCUUCUCCUGAUUGGUAUUCCUGUAGGACCCUGCCUCUUAAAAACCCUCCUAAACCAUAUACACAAGAAUGUAGGUGAGGUGCGACUUAUGGGCUUGGGAGCCCAGAGUGGUCCCUUAGACACAGAAGGAUGGAAAAGAAACUGAGGCCUAAUGAUGUGCAAGAUUGACAUCAAACCUACUAAUGUGAUAGUAAAAGUAAAUGUGACUCCAUUCUGUAAAACAACCAGGCCAAGUUCAAGGGUCAUGACUGGGGCAAUAUGUUCUUUUCCUCUUCCUAUAGAAACCUUUAAGAACAUGGAACUACCUAAUGAGGCAUUGUUACAGUAACUAGGGUAAGGGGGCUCUGUUUCUGUAAUGGGGUGACUGGGCUAACUGUGAUUGGUUAGGCUUCCCGCCACCGGACUGCACUCUCCCACUUCUGUGACCUGGCUUGCUUGCAUUGGCUAGACCCCCGAAAAUCCCUUUUGCGGUUUUCAGGAUUAUAAGGAGCGCCCUUGCAAUUGCCGGGGGCUG